rnacentral:lncRNA from 1 species
AUCGGGGCAAACAAUCAAGGCAUCAGAAUUAUUCUAUUUUUCUUAAACUGUAGUUUUUAUCUAGGAAUCAUAUUGAGUUUAAGCUUUUAUACAAAAUCAGAUUCUGAAUUUUAUAAAGAUUUUCAAUAGAGGCUUUUAAAUCAUGAUUUGAGAUAUGUAUCUUUCACAUUGAAGCUCAUCUUAAAUCACUAAGAUUGAAAACACAUAUUUCUAAUAACAUUAAAGCACUUUCAGAAUCUUUAUAUUUAAUAUUGAGUUUUGAUACAAAAUGGAGAAUAUUUUAACAAGUAUUAGGAUAUUAUGUAUCAAAGUUAGGCAAGUAGAAAGAUAGAUCAAGAUCAAUUCAUUUUGCCUAAAUAGAGAUAUCUUUCUCUUCUCCUUUUUACAAAUUUAUUCAACUUUCAGUUUUUAAAGAUGAUUGUGAACGACAAAUCUGAAACUUCUUUUCAAUAAUACCCAAAAACAAUUUUAUGCAGUAUUCCAAACAUUCAAUCAAAUUGUCCAAGCAUAGAGCAUUACAAAAUAUUGAGAACCCAUAAUUUAAGACAUCAUGCCACAUGCAAAAUAUAUUAUGUGUUAAGUCAUGCAUUAAAAUAACAAGCAUGUCAAUGAUCAAAAUCAAUUCUUUUCAAAUAAACUCCCCCUAUUUAAACAUACUCUUGCAUUGAUUUCAUCCUUAAAGUGUGUUUUCAAGUGAUUAAAAAUUUGACUUGAUUCUUUUUAUAUACUUUCACUUACUUUGUUUUUCAUUUUUACUUUCUUAUGCUCUAUACUCUAUUUGCUCCCUAUCCGGUGGAGUUGGAAGGGGCACGAGGUACUACCACUAGCCUCCCUCUUGUGCCGUCCUUAAUAUACCGUACACCGAAUAGUUGGGUCAAAUAGUGCCGGGUACUACCAC